rnacentral:tRNA from 1 species
GACUCCGUUGCCCAAUGGAUAAGGCGUUAGUCUACGAAACCAUAGAUUCUGGGUUCGAUCCCCAACAGAGUCG